rnacentral:misc_RNA from 1 species
CCAAUAGCGUAUAUUAAAGUUGUUGCAGUUAAAAAGCUCGUAGUUGAAUUUCGGGAUCAGUACGCUGGUCGUGCCUUCGGUAUGUACUGGUGUUACUGGUUCCUACCUUCUGACGAACCGUCAUGUCAUUAAUUUGGUGUGGCGGGAAAUCAGGACCGUUACUUUGAAAAAAUUAGAGUGUUUAAAGCAGGCUCGCGCUUGAAUACAUUAGCAUGAAAUAAUGAAAUAGGACGUUCGAUCCUAUUUUGUUGGUUUCUAGGAUUGACGUAAUGAUUAAUAGGGAUAGUUGGGGGCAUUAGUAUUCAAUUGUCAGAGGUGAAAUUCUUGGAUUUAUUGAAGACUAACUACUGCGAAAGCAUUUGCCAAGGAUGUUUUCAUUAAUCAAGAACGAAAGUUAGGGGAUCGAAGACGAUCAGAUACCGUCGUAGUCUUAACCAUAAACUAUGCCGACUAGGGAUCGGAUGAUGUUAUUUUUAAUGACUCAUUCGGCGCCUUACG